AGACGGAAGCAGCAGCAUUCCGCUUGCAGGUUUUUGAAAAAACAAAUGGGGCAAGAGAGGCCAGGACCACGCCUGACUCAGGCAGUCGGACGGGCAGGGAGGCUGCAAGGCAUGGCGUGAGCGGGUGGAGCUGUCAGGACUGCCCCAGACCCUGGCUCAAAGAUGCCCGACCCCAGGACCCUGCCUCUGCUGGAUGGUGAAGGCCAACUUCCCCUCUGUUGGAGCUGGCCUGCCCGUUGUGGGAAGGGCUGGGAGGAGGCCCAGGACAAUGCAGAACAGACAGGACGUUUCACAGAGCAGGCUGCCAUGUCCCUCGGGGCCUUGGGGGCUGCUGAGGCCCUGAGAAAGGUCACUGGAGGCCUGGCCGGAAGUGCAGGGUUAUCUCAGUACUUGUUUUAAGGCUCCUGCAGCUGAAAAGCUGCCCCACACGGUGGACUGGGUGGAGGAAGUCAGCUGUGCUGCUUAACCGUGGAGUUUCCGUCCCGGUCCUGCUCACCAGCUCUGCAAAGGCCUUGUCCUCCCUGCCUGAUUCUCAGCACCAUUUUUAACAUGCCUAUGGAGAGGCCACGUUGAGUCCAGAGGUCCGUGUGCCUCAUGGCCACACCACGGCACCCGUUCACCCACACAAGGGCCAGGAGCAUCCCCUAGGGAGGAGGAGAUGGCAGAUCUGCACAGGCUCUGCGCUCCUCUCUCUCCCGAGCGUCCUCUCCUCUGUGUGGCAGGCUCGGCUCGUGAUGGAGGAGCCCCUUCUGCAGGGCUCUGUUUACAGGGUGCCCGCCCCACAGCCUGUGGCUGCUCCUACUCAUGCCAGGUGAGGCUCCUACACCCACCGGUGGCCACGGGGGAGUCACAGCUCCUUCUGCAUCAUCCGCCUGACCUGUUCCCUCAUCUGGGAUGACAACCAGAUGCAUCUCUGAGGUCCGUGCCCUGAGUAGAAAAGUUCACACAGCAAAGUUUCCGGAGCCUUCCCUGACGUGCCGCGUGUCCGUCCAUAACUGGUCAUCCUCCACAUCCUGUGAGGCGCAUCUCAGCACCUCUUUGUGCAAGCGCCCGCACUAGACGUUUGAGAAACAGAUGUGAGCAGGCGUGGUCCUGACCUCCAUCCCGAGGUUGGG
rnacentral:antisense_RNA from 1 species